rnacentral:lncRNA from 1 species
AUGACUCAGUUUCCUCAUUUGUAAAAAAUGAGGUCUGCAAUACUACUAACUGCAAAGUUGGGGCGAGGAUGAAAUGAGAACAUGCAUGUAGAUUCUUUCGCUUGGUGCCUGGAUAUGGUAAAUGUUCCAUAAAGAGAAACUGUCAGCAGCAGCAUCAUUGUGAGCAGAAGGUCACAAAGAAUCUGGGAUCAGCCCUGAGCAUGCCAGCUCCAUCCAGAAGAGCUGCAACCCGGAGCCGUGCUCCAAACACUAGGUCUGCAGAGAGGAUAAGUGAAGGAGAGGUGUGGGGAGAAGAGCGAUGGGGAGAGCCUGGCUUGGCUUCGGGCAGUACUCCAGUUCCUGCUUCCCAGGCCUGCCCGCCCACCGGAGGCUACUAUGACGCACAACAGGGGCCUGGGCCUUUCAGCUAAUUCUCCUUUUGGCAUGAUGAGGGUUUUUGUGCAACUAAAACAAUUCCAUGAAUUACAGGGGAAAAGUUCAGGCAUUAUCUUAGGUAAAAAGAACAAGCUAAAACAAUGUAAUCUCAAUCUCAAAAAAAUUCUGUCAUGAUAUCAACUGUAUAUAAAUGCGUGUGGGUGUUUAUAUACACAGACACCCAUUGCGCACACACACACACAGUUGAUGCUCAUUGUUUGCGGUAGUUACGUUCUGUAAAGUCACUGAG